ensembl:lncRNA
AUAAAGAUUGUUGACCCCUCAGAAUUAACAAUUCUCCAACAGAUUUCUGUCUCACAUAAAGAGACAAAUUCCUAUGAUGGGUCUUCAAAUGAGGUUGUGGGGGAGAAAGUAAUUCAGCUAAGAGCACACAUCAAAAAUGAAACAGUAACUGAUGAAGCUAAAACCACUGACAGACAACUUCUUGAACAAGAGACUACAACUGACGUUCAGGAUCAGGAGAUAGAUAAAUCAGACUCCCAUGAGAAGGGAAACGAGGGACUGAAAACAUGUCAAAAGAGAGAAGAACAAGAUUUUACAGAGAGUAUUUCAUUUCUGGAGCAGAACAAAGAUCUUGAUGAUAAUUCACAUAAAUCAGGUCUUUCUCAAGCUGACAGUGAUGAGGCAACACCAAAAACAGCACAGAUUGCUAAUUCAAGUCAUGCCACGAAACCAAAGGUAAUUGAUGCCCUUAAAACCAACAUUGCAGAUUUAGCCACAAUGGACAAUGAAAAGAUCCAGUGCCAAGGAGAGAAAAUGGAGACUACAGAUAAUCAAGCGCCAAGUUCUGAUAGAUUUUCAAUGAGAGAGGAAUUUGGUGAAACUCAGCAGAAAGAGGAUGUCUCUAUAACGGAGAACACCAAACUUGAUCAAACACCAGAACAAUCAAUUUUUCACUCCCCUGACCCUAUCUAUAUUGAGCCAAAAGAGCCUGUUCUUACAGAGCCAGUAGUUGUAUCUCAGACAACAGACCUUACAAGGCCAGAUGGGGAGAAAGAACUUCCAGACAGUUCUUUGAGCAGAGUAAGUUUGACAGAAAGCAAAAGAGACAUCAAUGACAAUCACCUAGGGGGCUGUUCAUCACUCAGGGUGGACAGCUCAGACCAGGACAGGGUCUCUCCAACAUGUUCAUCCACCAUUGUCCAGGAGGAAGAUCUCUCUACCCCCGUUCAGGAGUCACAGCCCAUUCAUGACAUCUCCCAAACAUCUGCUACCUUCUCACAUACAGCUCCAGACAACAAACCUAACCAACCUGACUAUCAAAGUCCCCUUCGGACUCCUGGAAUAACCAGUUUGGAAUCAGCAGCAUGGGAAACAGAGAAACAAACACCAACUUUGGUUCCUAUUCAAGACAUGUUUGAUCAUGAAAGUGAGAGAACAGCCAUGACGGCAAAACCAUGCAGACAUGAGAACCCUCCACUAUGCAAGGGACACCGAACAGAACAGUCCCAGUCCACAACAUCCACUGGAAAAUUAGACAGUAACCAUGACCAAAGAACACUGAAUCAGUCAGAUGAAAGAGAGAUGCUCCCCUGCUUCAGUCCAAGACCAGACUCCCUCAUAAAAAUAAAGCAUGCUGAGCGACAGAGCAUAGAGCGAGAUGUGUGCCCAAUUAGCUACAGAUCAAAAGGCCCAGAGGACUUGGAUCUCCCCUUCAAAAACAAUAGUAUGUUCAUGAUCUGGUUUAGCCAUAAGGCAUCAGUAUCUUUUCAAGUACCUUCUUUAUGGUCUCUAGCAAAGCAAUUUUAGUGUUUAUUUGUUUUUCUUUCCCUUAGUAGGUUCAGGUAAUGAAACAG